GACGAACGCUGGCGGCGUGCUUAACACAUGCAAGUCGAACGGAAAGGCCCUGCUUUUGUGGGGUGCUCGAGUGGCGAACGGGUGAGUAACACGUGAGUAACCUGCCCUUGACUUUGGGAUAACUUCAGGAAACUGGGGCUAAUACCGGAUAGGAGCUCCUGCUGCAUGGUGGGGGUUGGAAAGUUUCGGCGGUUGGGGAUGGACUCGCGGCUUAUCAGCUUGUUGGUGGGGUAGUGGCUUACCAAGGCUUUGACGGGUAGCCGGCCUGAGAGGGUGACCGGCCACAUUGGGACUGAGAUACGGACCAGAGUCGAACGGGAGGCAGCGGUGGGGAAUAUUGCACAGUGGGCGGAAGCCUGAUGCAGCAACGCCGGGUGCGGAAUGACGGCCUUCGGGUUGUAAACCGCUUUAGGCUGUGACGAAGCGUGAGUGACGGUAAUGGGUAAAGAAGCACCGGCUAACUACGUG
rnacentral:rRNA from 1 species